rnacentral:antisense_RNA from 1 species
CCCAGGGCUGAGGUCCCGAAGGCGGGCGAGGUCUGGGAUGGGGUGGGGCCUAUAGGAGCGGGGCCUUAGGCGCACCUGGCCGGGCUGAAGCCCUGGGCCCGGCAGAGGAAAGUCGAGAUGGACCGUGUGGGACCCCUUCUCUCCCCGCCCCCAGGCCGCAGUUCGGGGGCCACGCCCCGGCGUUCUCGGGUCACCGCAGGAAGCCCUUGAACCCCCUGGCGCCCGGCACCCACAUGCGGUAACCGCGGCUCCUCGAGAGCUCCAGGGAUGCGGAUCUGCAGUAAGGGCUGUGGCCAGAUGAAUGAAUGCACAUUUUUUAGUGGGCAAAAAGAUGUUAGGAUUCAUGAAUUAGAAUAAGCACAAAGGAGGGCGAGAGGGGAGGCCGUGGAAGCCACAUUACUCCCCUUGCCUUGGGCGCCCACCCCCGAAGGGGCGCGUCCCCACCCUGCUCCACUGCACGUGGGUGUUUAACCAGGGGAUGUCCAGUGCCUCAAGCACCACGACCUGGGAGAAAACUGAGUUGAGAAGGCCCUGGGGAUGAAGGUGAGAAAGUUGAGAAUCCUCGGAGACAACACAUCAGCAAAUAGUGCGCAGGCAGAACAAGCUGUUGGAGGAGAGACAGAGCAGAGAAGCAACCGCACCUGGAGGGUCAGGAGGGCCUCACAUCAGAACGCCUGAGCAAAUACAGUUUUGAAGGAUACUAAUUUUUUAAAAAGUUCAUUCACAUGAGUUAGACAAAGAAAGAAGCAGGACAUUCUAGGAAGAAGGAACGGCCCAGGCAAAAGCGACGCGUACAUUGGCGUGGGUCCAUUCAAGACUUGUGCCCACAAUAUACCAGGCACUUGUCCAGACCUACAUCACCCAAUGCCCACCUCGGCCUCUCAAAGGGUUGGGAUUACAGGCGUGAGCCACCGCGCCCUGCCUGCAUGUGGCUAUUGAGAUGUGCUGUAUGAUACACACCGGACUUUGAAGACUCAGUGUGAAAAAUAAAAAGAAUUUUAAGAGGGGUGGGGGUCGAGGGGAGGCAGAGCAGUAGGAGAAAUAGCUAAUGCAUGCAGGGCUUAAAACCUAGACAACAGGUUGAUGGGUGCAGCAAACCACCAUGACACGUUUAUCUAUAUAGCACCUACAUGUUCUGCACUUGUAUCCUGGAACUUAAAAUUAGAAAAAAAAUAAUAAUAAAAGCCAACAUGGCAUUCAUUACUGCCAAAAAAAAUUAAAACACAUUGUUAA